UACGUAGGUGGCAAGCGUUGUCCGGAAUUAUUGGGCGUAAAGCGCGCGCAGGCGGUCCUUUAAGUCUGAUGUGAAAGCCCACGGCUCAACCGUGGAGGGUCAUUGGAAACUGGGGGGACUUGAGUGCAGGAGAGAAGAGUGGAAUUCCACGUGUAGCGGUGAAAUGCGCAGAUAUCAGGAGGAACACCGGUGGCGAAGGCGGGACUCUGGGCCGAGUGACUGACGCUGGAGGAGCGAAAGCGUGGGGAGCAAACAGG
rnacentral:rRNA from 1 species